rnacentral:rRNA from 1 species
GACGAACGCUGGCGGCGUGCUUAACACAUGCAAGUCGAGCGGUAAGGCCCUUUCGGGGGUACGACGAGCGGCGAACGGGUGAGUAACACGUGGGUGACCUGCCCUCAGCUCUGGGAUAAGCCUGGGAAACUGGGUCGUAAUACUGGAUAUGACUCCACGGUGCAUGUCGUGGGGUGGAAAGCCUUGUGCGGCUGAGGAUGGGCCCGCCGGCCUAUCAGCUUGUUGGUGGGGUGAUGGCCUACCAAGGCGACGACGGGUAGCCGGCCUGAGAGGGCGA